AUGCUUAGUUUCAUCAAUGGAUCUCACAGCCCGGAAUCGGAUACCGUGAAUUUACCAAUCCACCGAGUGUAUUUGUGUAAGUUCGAAAGUCAUAAAGUGGAAAACUUAUCUGAAUUUAGAUACCAACGUCAGAGGUUCUCAAAUAAUCUCUUUAGAACGGUGCAAACUCACAUCAGUUGGGUUGAAUUUUCGGUUCCUCAUCGGAUAACAAACCGCCUAAUAUUAUCGACUCCACCCUCCAAUUCCUGGAAUUUUAGCUAG